UACUCGAGUGGCGAACGGGUGAGUAACACGUGGGUGAUCUGCCCUGCACUUCGGGAUAAGCCUGGGAAACUGGGUCUAAUACCGGAUAGGAGCCAUUUUUAGUGUGAUGGUUGGAAAGUUUUUUCGGUGUAGGAUGAGCUCGCGGCCUAUCAGCUUGUUGGUGGGGUAAUGGCCUACCAAGGCGGCGACGUGUAGCCGGCCUGAGAGGGUGGACGGCCACAUUGGGACUGAGAUACGGCCCAG
rnacentral:rRNA from 1 species